rnacentral:rRNA from 1 species
UACGUAGGGUCCGAGCGUUGUCCGGAAUUAUUGGGCGUAAAGGGCUCGUAGGCGGUUUGUCGCGUCGGGAGUGAAAACACCGGGCUUAACUCGGUGCUUGCUUUCGAUACGGGCAGACUGGAGGUAUGCAGGGGAGAACGGAAUUCCUGGUGUAGCGGUGAAAUGCGCAGAUAUCAGGAGGAACACCGGUGGCGAAGGCGGAUCUCUGGGCCUUACCUGACGCUCAGGCACGAAAGCUAGGGGAGCGAACAGG